rnacentral:rRNA from 1 species
UACGUAGGGUGCAAGCGUUGUCCGGAAUUAUUGGGCGUAAAGAGCUCGUAGGCGGUCUGUCACGUCGGCUGUGAAAACCCGAGGCUCAACCUCGGGCCUGCAGUCGAUACGGGCAAACUAGAGUACUGCAGGGGAGACUGGAAUUCCUGGUGUAGCGGUGAAAUGCGCAGAUAUCAGGAGGAACACCCGUGGCGAAGGCGGCUCUCUGGGACGGUACUGACGCUGAGACGCGAAAGCGUGGGGAGCAAACAGG